rnacentral:rRNA from 1 species
UGGGGAAUAUUGCACAAUGGGCGCAAGCCUGAUGCAGCGACGCCGCGUGAGGGAUGACGGCCUUCGGGUUGUAAACCUCUUUCAGCAGGGAAGAAGCGCAAGUGACGGUACCUGCAGAAGAAGCACCGGCUAACUACGUGCCAGCAGCCGCGGUAAUACGUAGGGUGCGAGCGUUGUCCGGAAUUAUUGGGCGUAAAGAGCUUGUAGGCGGUUUGUCGCGUCUGCUGUGAAAAUCCGGGGCUCAACCCCGGACUUGCAGUGGGUACGGGCAGACUAGAGUGUGGUAGGGGAGACUGGAAUUCCUGGUGUAGCGGUGGAAUGCGCAGAUAUCAGGAGGAACACCGAUGGCGAAGGCAGGUCUCUGGGCCACUACUGACGCUGAGAAGCGAAAGCAUGGGGAGCGAACAGGAUUAGAUACCCUGGUAGUCCAUGCCGUAAACGUUGGGAACUAGGUGUGGGUCUCAUUCCACGAGGUCCGUGCCGCAGCUAACGCAUUAAGUUCCCCGCCUGGGGAGUACGGCCGCAAGGCUAA